rnacentral:rRNA from 1 species
AUACGAAAGGUGCAAGCGUUGUUCGGAUUUACUGGGCGUAAAGAGAGUGUAGGUUGUUUAUUAAGUCGGAUGUGAAAUCCCGGGGCUCAACCUCGGAACUGCAUUCGAUACUGGUAGACUAGAGUUCGGGAGGGGUAAGCGGAAUUCCGUGUGUAGCAGCGAAAUGCGUAGAUAUACGGAGGAACACCUGAGGCGAAGGCGGCUUACUGGACCGAUACUGACACUGAGACUCGAAAGCGUGGGUAGCAAACAGGAUUAGAAACCCCGGUAGUCC